CUGGAAGUAAAAGUGGAGGUGGAGGAACAGAAACAUGUGACGGAUCUGAUGGAGAUUUAAUUACUGAAGCACUGACUGAUGCCACAGCAGAGUCUUCAGUGACACUGUAUAUGUUGAUCUGGGAAAAUACUUCAGCACCAGUCAAGUGCAAGACGGGCAGAACCACUGAUUCUUCCCCUUCAAAUUCUGAGGGCCACAGUAAAAUAGAUCUGACAGCCUGCAAUGGAGAUGUUACCUGCCUAUUUGGUAUUAUCUUGUUUCAAAAAAUAUGUCUUACUUUACCGACUAAAUGUUUUGCAUUAUUAGAAGAAGACAAAGAAGAAAACUGUUUUCCCCUUCUAUGCCUGGCAGAGGUUCAUAUGAAUAGCAAGGAAAUGAGAGCUUGAAAGAAGAGAAGGGAGAGGCUGUGGCAUGCUAAAGAGAGCAGAGGGCAAGGGCUGCUUUGGUACCAGUUAGUGUCUCCCAUUUUUACAAUUUGUUUUCAUACAGAUUUUGUUUCUUAAUCAAAAUGAUCAUCAGGGUCAUGAGACAAUCAAAUAAUAUUUACAACAAACACUGAAGCAAUAUUGGUAUUACUUAGAUCAAAGUGGACAAACUUUCAGUAAAGAACCAUACAGCUACUGAACUCUGUAGAUAAGGGCACAAAAGCAGCCACAGAUAAUACUUGAACAAAUGAGCAUGGUUAUGUUCCAUAGAAUUUUAUUUAUGAAUAAUAAAAUAUGAAUUUUAUACAAUCUUCACGAUAUGAUUAUUCUACUUCUGAUGUUUUCAACUAUUUGAAUUUUUUAAAAUUGUCCUUCCUUGAGCUAUACAAUAGGUAACAGAAAAAAAAUUUGAAUAGUGAACUGUUGUUUGCCAACACUUGACCUAAAAAAACGUAAAUUUUGUAAAAAUCAGUAAACCUAUUUUUAGGAACUAGACAUAGGACUGCCAGUUAAAUUAAUGUUUAGUAAAAUACCUAGGGUUCUUAGUAACUAACAGUGUAAGGAAUAUAUAGAGGCUCUACUUAAAAUUCAAAAGAAGCACUGAAUUAGUGAAUAUGAACUUGGAAUUUUUAAUGCAAGACACGUUUUAAUCCAUUUCUCUUGCAAGAAUUAGGCUGAAUUUAAGUACUAUAAUUGUUUUGGGUUUAUUUUGUUGUUGUGUUUUUUGUUUUUUUCUUUUUGAGACAAGGUCUACUAUGUAUUUCAGGCUGGCCUUGAAGUCAUUAUGUGCUCUAGGCUGGCCUUAGUGAUCCUCUUUGCACACCGUCUAGUGUGCUAGAAUUAUAGGCAUGCACCACCACACCCAGCUUUAAGUACUAUAGCUAUUACAUUUUUUUCUUUUUUGGUCU